rnacentral:rRNA from 1 species
CCUACGGGAGGCAGCAGUGAGGAAUAUUGGUCAAUGGACGAGAGUCUGAACCAGCCAAGUAGCGUGAAGGAUGACUGCCCUACGGGUUGUAAACUUCUUUUAUAUGGGAAUAAAAUGUUCCACGUGUGGGAUUUUGUAUGUACCAUAUGAAUAAGGAUCGGCUAACUCCGUGCCAGCAGCCGCGGUAAUACGGAGGAUCCGAGCGUUAUCCGGAUUUAUUGGGUUUAAAGGGAGCGUAGGUGGGUUGUUAAGUCAGUUGUGAAAGUUUGCGGCUCAACCGUAAAAUUGCAGUUGAUACUGGCAGUCUUGAGUACAGUUGAGGUAGGCGGAAUUCGUGGUGUAGCGGUGAAAUGCUUAGAUAUCACGAAGAACUCCGAUUGCGAAGGCAGUUCACUAGACUGCAACUGACACUGAGGCUCGAAAGUGUGGGUAUCAAACAGGAUUAGAUACCCCUGUAGUC